rnacentral:rRNA from 1 species
AGACCCGAAACCCGGUGAUCUAGCCAUGGGCAGGUUGAAGGUUGGGUAACACUAACUGGAGGACCGAACCGACUAAUGUUGAAAAAUUAGCGGAUGACCUGUGGCUGGGGGUGAAAGGCCAAUCAAACCGGGAGAUAGCUGGUUCUCCCCGAAAGCUAUUUAGGUAGCGCCUCGUGAAUUCAUCUCCGGGGGUAGAGCACUGUUUCGGCUAGGGGGCCAUCCCGGCUUACCAACCCGAUGCAAACUGCGAAUACCGGAGAAUGUUAUCACGGGAGACACACGGCGGGUGCUAACGUCCGUCGUGAAGAGGGAAACAACCCAGACCGCCAGCUAAGGUCCCAAAGUCAUGGUUAAGUGGGAAACGAUGUGGGAAGGCCCAGACAGCCAGGAUGUUGGCUUAGAAGCAGCCAUCAUUUAAAGAAAGCGUAAUAGCUCACUGGUCGAGUCGGCCUGCGCGGAAGAUGUAACGGGGCUAAACCAUGCACCGAAGCUGCGGCAGCGACGCUGAUGCGUUGUUGGGUAGGGGAGCGUUCUGUAAGCCUGCGAAGGUGGCCUGUGAGGGUUGCUGGAGGUAUCAGAAGUGCGAAUGCUGACAUAAGUAACGAUAAAGCGGGUGAAAAGCCCGCUCGCCGGAAGACCAAGGGUUCCUGUCCAACGUUAAUCGGGGCAGGGUGAGUCGACCCCUAAGGCGAGGCCGAAAGGCGUAGUCGAUGGGAAACGGGUUAAUAUUCCCGUACUUGGUGUUACUGCGAAGGGGGGACGGAGAAGGCUAUGUUGGCCGGGCGACGGUUGUCCCGGUUUAAGCGUGUAGGUGUGUGUUCCAGGUAAAUCCGGUUCACUUUAACACUGAGGCGUGACGACGAGGCACUACGGUGCUGAAGCAACAAAUGCCCUGCUUCCAGGAAAAGCCUCUAAGCAUCAGGUAACAUCAAAUCGUACCCCAAACCGACACAGGUGGUCAGGUAGAGAAUACCAAGGCGCUUGAGAGAACUCGGGUGAAGGAACUAGGCAAAAUGGUGCCGUAACUUCGGGAGAAGGCACGCUGACACGUAGGUGAAGUGAUUUACUCAUGGAGCUGAAGUCAGUCGAAGAUACCAGCUGGCUGCAACUGUUUAUUAAAAACACAGCACUGUGCAAACACGAAAGUGGACGUAUACGGUGUGACGCCUGCCCGGUGCCGGAAGGUUAAUUGAUGGGGUCAGCGCAAGCGAAGCUCCUGAUCGAAGCCCCGGUAAACGGCGGCCGUAACUAUAACGGUCCUAAGGUAGCGAAAUUCCUUGUCGGGUAAGUUCCGACCUGCACGAAUGGCGUAAUGAUGGCCAGGCUGUCUCCACCCGAGACUCAGUGAAAUUGAACUCGCUGUGAAGAUGCAGUGUACCCGCGGCAAGACGGAAAGACCCCGUGAACCUUUACUAUAGCUUGACACUGAACAUUGAGCCUUGAUGUGUAGGAUAGGUGGGAGGCUUUGAAGUGUGGACGC